AGAACUGCGGAGACUCCAUUUUGGAUCGAUUGGAUUCGCGUUUAGCUGUCAAAAAACGAAUCCAAUCGAACAUUGCCUAUUAGGCAAUCCAUGAGACGUUUCUGAUCAGCUGAUUAUUUCUUGUUUACUUAUUCUGACGUUACUCCGAGGGGUGCGACGUCCGACAAUAUCGUUGAUUCGAUCCAACAUCAAACGAAUCGGACUAACAAAGUUGUUUGUCGGACGAGUUUUUCUGUUCGCAGGAGUAGACUUGUUGACAGAACCCACCGCUGAAUUGUCAAACAAACGUCUAAUGGAUUGCCUAAUCCUUAUAACAUUGGACGUGUUGCCAUACAAUGCCGGGGCAUACGUUGCCAAAAAUGCUGUUUUUCUCUCCGCAGUUCUCUUACUGGAGUUUUUCUAGGUUGAGCAGAGAGCUGAAGCAACGACACGACCUGAAACUUCAUUAAAUCUUCUGAUGAAAAAAUGCCCGAAUAAUUUACUUAUAGUUACCAGUACAUUAGCUCACCCCUCGGUGCAACGUGCAAAAUAAGUUUCCCAGCAACGCUUCUUGGUUUAUUUGGUUUUCGGUUGCUGUCGUUGCUGUAUAGCAACCAUGUUAUGUUUACAACUUCUGCUACCGCGAGUAUGAUAAAGGACUGGCUUAUGAGGCAAACGGUUCCCGGAAGCUUACGAUACCAAAUCACUGCAGACGAGGAUCGACUGUAGAAGCAAAGAUCAAAUAAUUUUAGCUUCUAGAAGAGUAAUUAUUACAAGAUGGUGCAGAGCGAGACACACAAUCCGGUAUUUACACGAUCACCCCCAGGAGCAACUACCCCGAAUGUUACAAGUCGUUUGAGCGGUAUCGGAAGCUACAUCGAGGCAUCAUGACAAAAUUGAAGAUACAGGAUUUUGCAUUGAUAAAAAUUGUUCACGAAUCGGAUAAACUGACAAUGCAAGACUACAAAUGGACUGGGCUUGUAGAUAGAGAUGAGCCUUUCGUUCGCGGACGGUUUAAAUGAACUGGUGUUUCGAAAAGAAUGAGCGAACAGAACAAUCCGUUCUCGGUACUUUCCUAGUAUGGAACCGGGUGAAAAAUAACACAAGCAAGCAAAAUAAAAAUAUUCCCCUCACUA